CUUUGAUUUGUUUUACUUUUGUGUAAAUCUCUGCCCUCUCCCGUGAACAGGGUCUGCUCUACUGUGUCUGACGACUGCACCAUCAGUCUCCGAAGUCUGUGCCAUGCUAAGCUCAUCACGUGACAGCACCUGUGUCGUCUGACUCCUGCCUGGCUUUCGUUCUCUGAACACAGGGAGGAAACAUUUCAUUUAUGAUUUCCAGCCCUUUGAUUUUUACCAGUGAGUUAACGAGCCCAGAGAGAUAAAAAACUGGUUUUCAAAGGUCACACAGCUCAUUGCAGAAGUCAACAGGAAGGAGUCAUUUCCCCCCCUCUGGCCUGGAUGUCUCAGCCUCACUAAUGAUGAAUAGGGGCAGACUCCCUGUGCCUUUCAUUUCAAACAGCAUUUCAUAAGACAGUGCUGCCAGGCUCCCACAGCUUGAGGGCCCUCUACUGAAACUGCAGACCAAGUCGGAGAGGAGGUGGCCUGCAUGGUGGCCUGCACAGAGACAGCGGGGUCACACCUCCCUGUGGGCACCAGAUACACCUACCAAUACUCCAGCAAUACCAGCACCAGCCUGCAGGGGGCGCCGCUGGAAGCCAGUGGCCUGGGCCUCCAGGGCUUGGCCGUCCUUGAAGUGUUAGGCCCAUGCCAGAUGGCCUUAUGGCUUCAAGACCUCCAAGUGAUGUCUGUUCUGGGGUCCCAGGUGGAAGUUCUGAAGGAAUCUGAGAGUUUAAGGUAAGACCCUAGCCUAGGGUUUCAUGUUUGAGCCUAUAA
rnacentral:lncRNA from 1 species